UUGAAGUAUUUGAAAUCACAUGUACGGUGGCCCUGAGGUGCAAAACACAACAGCAAAUUAAGUAACACAAAAAGAGAAAAUACAGCAGCAAAUUAGAGAACACAACACAAAAAGAGAAAACACCUACCUACAUUUUCUUUUUUGCCAUUGUGUUUUCUCUUUUGCUGUUGUAUUUUGCACCUCAGGGCCACCGUACAUAUGUGAUUUCAAAUACUUCA